UGCUUCACUGUGGCUGGCCCCGCCCACAAUACUCUGAGUAGUCUGCGUGUAUCAGGCCAGUUUCCUCUUCCUGCUCCUCUUACUGGUCCUGAUUGUCCUGCCCUGGGCUGCCUCCUCCCACCUCACUGUCCCAGGGUCGGCUCCUGCUCUUCAGGAAGGAGCAAUGAAGCAACACUAAGGUGCUCAGACUGUGAAGAGAAGCCAGCUGGUCACCGUCACUUGGAACACCCACAUGGAGGAUGCUGUCAUCGACCGGAAGACGAGACCCACUGCAUGACAAGCAACAUCUUACACACAAUGUGAUACUGUAUGGCUCAAGUGGACAUACAUAUCUUUACUGGAUGUGGACAAGGCCAUUUAGCUUGGAUUCCAUUUCAGGUUUUACUUACUGCGUGUGAUACUCACAAUCAAGAUGAGGGGAGUGUGGAUGACGUCUUGGAGGUGUGUCCAAAAUUUGGAGUGGGGGGACAGAACAUACGGACGAUAAUCUUCGUGGCGGGGUAGCCUGCUGUGGACAUACGACCUUGCUUUCUUUUCGGCCACAGGGUUUUUGUGGUGAUGUCUUACAGAAGUCCCACUUCUGCUGCUCCAUACUUCUUUUGAUGGACCUAUUAAUGAAAGUGCAAUUUUGUUAUGGCCAUUCCUUUACAAACAUACCCUAUACUACAAUGGACACUUUACCUGCUUCCGCAGCAUCAUCAUCAUCAGAUGUGAUAGGAGUUACUGGCCGAUGAGUAGUACUGCUUUUUUCAAACACUGUAUUAAAAAAAAAAAAUAUUCAUGCUAUUGUUGAUACAUCCACCCAUUAUGCUUAGAAACAUUUAUUCUUUAAGAAAUGCUUGCUUUAUUUUUAAUA